AGAGUUUGAUCAUGGCUCAGAUUGAACGCUGGCGGCAGGCCUAACACAUGCAAGUCGAGCGGUAGCACAGGAGAGCUUGCUCUCUGGGUGACGAGCGGCGGACGGGUGAGUAAUGUCUGGGAAACUGCCUGAUGGAGGGGGAUAACUACUGGAAACGGUAGCUAAUACCGCAUAACGUCUUCGGACCAAAGUGGGGGACCUUCGGGCCUCACGCCAUCAGAUGUGCCCAGAUGGGAUUAGCUAGUAGGUGGGGUAAUGGCUCACCUAGGCGACGAUCCCUAGCUGGUCUGAGAGGAUGACCAGCCACACUGGAACUGAGACACGGUCCAGACUCCUACGGGAGGCAGCAGUGGGGAAUAUUGCACAAUGGGCGCAAGCCUGAUGCAGCCAUGCCGCGUGUGUGAAGAAGGCCUUCGGGUUGUAAAGCACUUUCAGCGAGGAGGAAGGGUAGUGUGUUAAUAGCACAUUGCAUUGACGUUACUCGCAGAAGAAGCACCGGCUAACUCCGUGCCAGCAGCCGCGGUAAUACGGAGGGUGCAAGCGUUAAUCGGAAUUACUGGGCGUAAAGCGCACGCAGGCGGUUUGUUAAGUCAGAUGUGAAAUCCCCGCGCUUAACGUGGGAACUGCAUUUGAAACUGGCAAGCUAGAGUCUUGUAGAGGGGGGUAGAAUUCCAGGUGUAGCGGUGAAAUGCGUAGAGAUCUGGAGGAAUACCGGUGGCGAAGGUGGCCCCCUGGACAAAGACUGACGCUCAGGUGCGAAAGCGUGGGGAGCAAACAGGAUUAGAUACCCCGGUAGU
rnacentral:rRNA from 1 species